rnacentral:rRNA from 1 species
CCGCGACCCCAGGUCAGGCGGGAUCACCCGCUGAGUUUAAGCAUAUCAAUAAGCGGAGGAAGAGAAACUUACAAGGAUUCCCUUAGUAACGGCGAGCGAACCGGGAAUAGCCCAACUUGAGAAUCGGGCGACCACGUCGUUCGAAUUGUAGUCUGAAAAAAACGUGGAA